GUCAAAAUGGGCUAGACAAAUGUCUGGCAGGGAUGGCUGAAGAAUGAUUUCCUUUCCUAUGGAAGAAAAGAUAGGUAAGGCAACGGGGUUCAUAAUUUAGUGUAGUCAGGCAUCUAUUUUCUGUUUGCUUGGAAGUAAGGGUCCAAACAGGACCACAUGCAUGAUCACCUCUAGUCCUAUGUUCCUUUUCAGAAGGGAA